rnacentral:rRNA from 1 species
GAUAAACGCUGGCGGCGCACACAAGACAUGCAAGUCGAACGGAAGUCGUUACAAAAUGAAUAGAAGAUUUAUCUGAUUGAAGUUUUGUAACAAUGGCUUUAGUGGCGGACUGGUGAGUAACGCGUAAGCAAUCUACCUAUUAGAGGGGAAUAACAAUGAGAAAUCAUUGCUAAUACCGCAUAUACCACAGAUAUCGCAUGAUAUAGGUGGGAAAGGAGCAAUCCACUAAUAGAUGAGCUUGCGUCUGAUUAGUUAGUUGGUGGGGUAACGGCCUACCAAGGCAACGAUCAGUAGCCGACCUGAGAGGGUGACCGGCCACAUUGGGACUGAGACACGGCCCAA